rnacentral:rRNA from 1 species
UACGUAGGUGGCGAGCGUUGUCCGGAAUUAUUGGGCGUAAAGCGCGCGCAGGCGGUCCCUUAAGUCUGAUGUGAAAGCCCACGGCUCAACCGUGGAGGGUCAUUGGAAACUGGGGGACUUGAGUACAGAAGAGGAAAGCGGAAUUCCACGUGUAGCGGUGAAAUGCGUAGAGAUGUGGAGGAACACCAGUGGCGAAGGCGGCUUUCUGGUCUGUAACUGACGCUGAGGCGCGAAAGCGUGGGGAGCAAACAGG